rnacentral:rRNA from 1 species
CCUACGGGAGGCAGCAGUGAGGAAUAUUGGUCAAUGGGCGCGAGCCUGAACCAGCCAAGUAGCGUGAAGGAUGAAGGCCCUACGGGUUGUAAACUUCUUUUGUAAAGGAAUAAAGGCAGGCACUUGUGCCCUUUUGAAUGUACUUUAUGAAUAAGGAUCGGCUAACUCCGUGCCAGCAGCCGCGGUACUACGGAGGAUCCGAGCGUUAUCCGGAUUUAUUGGGUUUAAAGGGAGGGUGGGCGGAAUGCUAAGUCAGCGGUAAAAUCCCGGGGCUCAACCUCGCCCCGCCGUUGAAACUGGCGUGCUUGAGUGGGGGAGAAGUAUGCGGAAUGCGUGGUGUAGCGGUGAAAUGCAUAGAUAUCACGCAGAACUCCGAUUGCGAAGGCAGCAUACCGGCGCCCAACUGACGCUGAGGCACGAAAGCGUGGGUAUCGAACAGGAUUAGAUACCCCUGUAGUC